GAGGAAAGAGAGGGGCAGCAAUGAGAAUGCCGAUUCAUUCCACCACCAACGGCCACUUCACAAAUCCCCAUCCCAAUAGAAAGACAGAAGAAACCGGCGCGAACAUCUCUCCUCCUCUGCUUCUCCCUCCCGGCCACCGACGGGCUCGGAGUCGCACUCAUCGCCUUCUCAAUCGGCGCCAGCCUCUAUACCUGCUGCCAUAUAUCUAGAUCCCUUAGGAAGAGGGGCUCUUCCAGCAACUAACUGGAGUGCCACCAAGAGUCGACAUCAUCAAAGUCUCCAUUAGAAGCCAGAGAGUAUGAUCCAAGCAAACCGAGCCGCUAAAGAGACAGAGAGUUUAAGUCGAGAAGGGGAGGAGCAAAGUGUUGAGCGAGACGAAGAGGAGGUGAGGCAUGAUAAACAAAGAACAAUGGCCAGAGAGCUCAAGUGGAGAAGGGGAGGAGCGAAGUGCUGAGCGAGACGAAGAGGAGGUGAGGCCGAAGAACAAUGGAAUUUUAGUCCCACAUCGCUAAAUAUAACUCUCCGACUGCGACUGAGAAC